rnacentral:rRNA from 1 species
GACGAACGCUGGCGGCGUGCUUAACACAUGCAAGUCGAACGGAAAGGCCCUGCUUGCAGGGUGCUCGAGUGGCGAACGGGUGAGUAACACGUGGGUGAUCUGCCCCUUACUUUGGGAUAAGCCUGGGAAACUGGGUCUAAUACUGGAUAGGACCAUGCUGUAGGUGGUGUGGUGGAAAGAUUAGUUUCGGUAAGGGAUGAGCUCGCGGCCUAUCAGCUUGUUGGUGGGGUAAUGGCCUACCAAGGCGUCGACGGGUAGCCGGCCUGAGAGGGUGGACGGCAACAUUGGGACUGAGAUACGGCCCAGACUCCUACGGGAGGCAGCAGUGGGGAAUAUUGCGCAAUGGGCGCAAGCCUGAUGCAGCGACGCCGCGUGGGGGAUGACGGCCGUCGGGUUGUAAACUCCUUGCAGCCAUGACGAAGCCCUUGUGGUGACGGUAGUGGGAGAAGAAGCACCGGCUAACUACGUG